CGGGACACGUGGUAUCCUGUCUGAAUAUGGGGGGACCAUCCUCCAAGGCUAAAUACUCCUGACUGACCGAUAGUGAACCAGUACCGUGAGGGAAAGGCGAAAAGAACCCCGGCGAGGGGAGUGAAAAAGAACCUGAAACCGUGUACGUACAAGCAGUGGGAGCACGCUUAGGCGUGUGACUGCGUACCUUUUGUAUAAUGGGUCAGCGACUUAUAUUCUGUAGCAAGGUUAACCGAAUAGGGGAGCCGAAGGGAAACCGAGUCUUAACUGGGCGUUAAGUUGCAGGGUAUAGACCCGAAACCCGGUGAUCUAGCCAUGGGCAGGUUGAAGGUUGGGUAACACUAACUGGAGGACCGAACCGACUAAUGUUGAAAAAUUAGCGGAUGACUUGUGGCUGGGGGUGAAAGGCCAAUCAAACCGGGAGAUAGCUGGUUCUCCCCGAAAGCUAUUUAGGUAGCGCCUCGUGAAUUCAUCUCCGGGGGUAGAGCACUGUUUCGGCAAGGGGGUCAUCCCGACUUACCAACCCGAUGCAAACUGCGAAUACCGGAGAAUGUUAUCACGGGAGACACACGGCGGGUGCUAACGUCCGUCGUGAAGAGGGAAACAACCCAGACCGCCAGCUAAGGUCCCAAAGUCAUGGUUAAGUGGGAAACGAUGUGGGAAGGCCCAGACAGCCAGGAUGUUGGCUUA
rnacentral:rRNA from 1 species